AAAAAGAUAAGCUAAGAUUUAAGCUGGUGGGUUCAUACCUCACUUAUGGGCAUAUUUCCCUCUUUUUA
rnacentral:tRNA from 1 species